AUUGAACGCUGGCGGCAGGCCUAACCCAUGCAAGUCGAACGAGUGGCGGACGGGUGAGUAAUGUCUGGGAAACUGCCUGAUGGAGGGGGAUUACUACUGGAAACGGUAGCUAAUACCGCAUCCCAUCGGAUGUGCCCAGAUGGGAUUAGCUAGUAGGUGGGGUAAAGGCUCACCUAGGCGACGAGCCCUAGCUGGUCUGAGAGGAUGACAAGCCACACUGGAACUUAACCGCGGUCCUGGAUCCUGCAGGAGGCAGCAGAGGGGAACAUUGCACAAUGGGAACAAGCCUGAUGCAGCGAUGCCGAGUGUAUGAAGAAGGCCUACGGGUUGUAAAGUACUUUCAUCGGGGAGGCGUUGCCCGCAGAAAAAGCACCGGCUAACUCCGUGCCGGCAGCCGCGGUAAUUG
rnacentral:rRNA from 1 species